CAGAAAGUUUCAAGGAUCUAGAGAAAGCUUUGUGUAGUGCUCUUCGUGAAGAAUGUGAUAUUCGCGGAAUAUUAUGCACUGCUCUGCAGAAUUUAAUUCAACAAAAUAAAAGAAUUGUUGAAGGAAAUGAUGAUCUGAAUGUUACUGAAGUUGGCAUUGCCAGACAGCGAGCUAUGACCCACUAUAGCNNNNNNNNNNCAGCAGAUAAUUUGAGUGUGCUAAGGUCAUCUGCCCGUGAUUUUUUGACUGUUUUGUCGGGGGUCCUCUUGGAAUCUUCAAAAGAUGAUGGUGGUUGUUUGCAGUCUAUAAUUAGUGAGUUUGCUUCAAUAGCUGAUAAAGCUGUAGUUAAAAGGAUUUUCUUAAAGACAAUGCGAAAGCUUUUGGAGGUUACACAAAAGGCUACAAAUGCUGAAGCUUCUGGGAAUUCUAAUUCUGCGCG
rnacentral:misc_RNA from 1 species